CUUGUACACACCGCCCGUCACACCACGAGAGUUUACAACACCCGAAGUCGGUGGGGCAGCCGCAAGGAGCCAGCCGCCGAAGGUGGGGUAGAUGAUUGGGGUG
rnacentral:rRNA from 1 species